rnacentral:rRNA from 1 species
AGAGUUUGAUCCUGGCUCAGGAUGAACGCUGGCGGCGUGCCUAACACAUGCAAGUCGAACGGAGCGCUGAGACUUCGGUUUUUGUGCUUAGUGGCGGACGGGUGAGUAACGCGUGAGCAAUCUGCCUUUCAGAGGGGGAUAACGACUGGGAACGGUCGCUAAUACCGCAUAACGUAUUUUGCAGGCAUCUGCGAGAUACCAAAGGAGCAAUCCGCUGAAAGAUGAGCUCGCGCCUGAUUAGAUAGUUGGUGAGGUAACGGCCCACCAAGUCGACGAUCAGUAGCCGGACUGAGAGGUUGAACGGCCACAUUGGGACUGAGACACGGCCCAGACUCCUACGGGAGGCAGCAGUGGGGAAUAUUGCGCAAUGGGGGAAACCCUGACGCAGCAACGCCGCGUGAUCGAAGAAGGUCUUCGGAUUGUAAAGAUCUUUUAUCAGGGACGAAGAAAGUGACGGUACCUGAUGAAUAAGCUCCGGCUAACUACGUGCCAGCAGCCGCGGUAAUACGUAGGGAGCGAGCGUUAUCCGGAUUUACUGGGUGUAAAGGGCGAGUAGGCGGGCUGGUAAGUUGGAAGUGAAAUGUCGGGGCUUAACCCCGGAACUGCUUUCAAAACUGCUGGUCUUGAGUGAUGGAGAGGCAGGCGGAAUUCCUAGUGUAGCGGUGAAAUGCGUAGAUAUUAGGAGGAACACCAGUGGCGAAGGCGGCCUGCUGGACAUUAACUGACGCUGAGGAGCGAAAGCGUGGGGAGCAAACAGGAUUAGAUACCCUGGUAGUCCACGCCGUAAACGAUGGAUACUAGGUGUGGGAGGUAUUGCACCCCUUCCGUGCCGCAGUU